CCAAAAAUUUUCAGUAUCGGUGGCACCAUUUUUUUUAACCAGUAUUCCAGAAGAGACACGCCCCAAUUAAACUGGUGGGGGGGACGAGUGUGCGGUUUCAACUGAGUGCUGUUAUUCGAAUACAGACUGAGAGGCUCCAGCUCUGAAGCAGGGAGGGAAAGGAAUGCGAGAGAGCAGACAGCAUUUAACAAGACAGAGAGAAUACCUAAUUACUGUAUACAAAUACUAGUUAAUUUUUAACGCAGAAUCUAAGGCUGUGUUCACACAUGGUCCGUUUAGAGGGUUCGGUACCGCAGUCCGCUUGGGAAACAAACCGUACCGAGGUCCACCUAAAGAGGUCCGUUAGCAAACGCACCGAGUCUGGUUCGCUUGCUAAUCGUCAAUGUGAACAACUGGACUCCGGCCUUUUGCACAUAGGAAAUUAACUAUAUUACAAGGUAACCUGACUCAGAAGUUAAUAUGUUGAGGGUAGUUUAGUUCAUAUUCUGCUGUGUGAAGCUAGCAACAAUUGCUGGCAACAAUAAGCAACUUCCGGUAAAAGUCACUUGUGGAAGGCAAUUGUACAUAUAUUGAACAGUAACAUACAUACAAAUUGCUUAGGUAUAGUACUGUAAUAUAAUAUGGAGAUUGGUUUUUAAAUACUUUUUCAUCUGCGCAAAAAUAAUUUCAUUUUCUUAAAAAUAUCACAAAUUACGCCCUCAAUAAAAUGUGUAUAAAAUGCCAAUAUGUGUGUUCCAUUAGUCUUUUGCAAUGUAUGAAAAAUCUAAGGAUUUAAACUCAAUAAAUGGGGGUGCAAUGUGAACUAGAGAUAGAGAUAAUAAAAAAAAUUAAAAAAAUUAUAUCGUCAUUGUAAAUGUUGCUGUGCUUUUAGUAUAGAGUGGAGAGCUGAAAACAGACACAUAUCGCCUAUUAUUCAGCCGACAAACUGGCUGCGUUCUAGUAACUCCUAAAAACCCUGCGUUCGCAUGCGGGAGUCUGCCUCUGACGUCACCGUCUGCGUAGACGGAGCUAGGACAGAUUUAAGAGGUUUCACAGCACAGUCGACUGAGCAAACGUGGCGACCAACUUCAUUGAUUUUGCCAUUGCACAACAGAUAGAAGCAAUUGAGGUUCCCUUCGUGCUCCACCACCUUCAACAAUUACAGCAACCUCAGAAAAGGGUUGUUUCAAAGAUCAGAAAUUAUGUUGCUGAAGUGGUGCCUCACUAUACCAUAAGUGACUUCCAAAGUAAUUUUUGACUUACUCCAGUACAAGUUCAGGAGCUGAUGGGACAGUUGCAGCCCUUCUACACAGAUGUUCAAGGCAGAAAAUGGGCAUUCCAUAAUACAGUGCUUGCUGCGCUGUGGACAUUGUCAAAUCAGGAAUCGUACAGAGGCAUAGCAAAUAGGUUUAAUUCAAGUAAAUCUGUAAUAUGUUCAUAUCUGCAUGAGGUGUGUUCACUCAUUACAAUGCACCUCUCCCACAAGAUUUCCUGGCCCACAGGUCAUGCCAUUCGUGAAGCUGAACAGGGUUUCCAGAGGGCUGGUUUCCCUGCAACACUGUGCAGUCGAUGGGUGUCAUAUAUCCUCAGUAAAACCACAACAUGUUCCAAACCCUGACAUGUACUACAACAGGAAGCAGUUUUAUUCCAUCAACCUCACCGCUUUCUUUGAUAGUAGUGCACGCUUCACCCAUGUAAAUGUUGGCCAUCCUGGAAGCUGGCAUAAGGCAUGUGUUUACAGGAUGACAGAAGUGUACAGCAUUCUCCAAGACAAUCCACAGUCCCUUCUUCCUGGC